rnacentral:rRNA from 1 species
GAUGAACGCUGGCGGCGUGCCUAAUACAUGCAAGUCGAGCGAACAGAUGAGGAGCUUGCUCCUCUGACGUUAGCGGCGGACGGGUGAGUAACACGUGGAUAACCUACCUAUAAGACUGGGAUAACUUCGGGAAACCGGAGCUAAUACCGGAUAAUAUAUUGAACCGCAUGGUUCAAUAGUGAAAGACGGUUUUGCUGUCACUUAUAGAUGGAUCCGCGCCGCAUUAGCUAGUUGGUAAGGUAACGGCUUACCAAGGCAACGAUGCGUAGCCGACCUGAGAGGGUGGUCGGCCACACUGGAACUGAGACACGGUCCAGACUCCUACGGGAGGCAGCAGUAGGGUAUCUUCCGCAAUGGGCGAAAGCCUGACGGAGCGACGCCGCGUGAGUGAUGAAGGUCUUCGGAUCGUAAAACUCUGUUAUUAGGGAAGAACAAAUGUGUAAGUAACUAUGCACGUCUUGACGGUACCUAAUCAGAAAGCCACGGCUAACUACGUG